UGGGGAAUCUUGCGCAAUGGCCGCAAGGCUGACGCAGCGACGCCGCGUGAGGGAUGACGGCCUUCGGGUUGUAAACCUCUGUUGCCCGGGACGAACAAGCUCAUGCGUGAGCUCUGACGGUACCGGGUGAGGAAGCACCGGCUAACUCCGUGCCAGCAGCCGCGGUAAUACGGAGGGUGCGAGCGUUGUCCGGAAUCACUGGGCGUAAAGGGCGCGUAGGCGGUGGCUUAAGCGUGUGGUGAAAGUCCGGGGCUCAACCCCGGAUCGGCCGUGCGAACUGGGUCACUUGAGCACUGUAGAGGCAGGUGGAAUUCCGGGUGUAGCGGUGGAAUGCGUAGAGAUCCGGAAGAACACCAGGGGCGAAGGCGGCCUGCUGGGCAGUGGCUGACGCUGAGGCGCGACAGCGUGGGGAGCAAACAGG
rnacentral:rRNA from 1 species